rnacentral:rRNA from 1 species
GGACGAACGCUGGCGGCGUGCCUAACACAUGCAAGUCGAGCGGGACACAUUUGGAAGUUUCGGAUGGAAGAAGUGUGUCUAGCGGCGGACGGGUGAGUAACGCGUGAGCAACCUGUCCCUCACAGGGGAAUAACGCAUCGAAAGGUGUGCUAAUACCGCAUGAGACCACGGUACCGACAUGGUACAGGGGUUAAAGGAGCAAUCCGGUGAGGGGUGGGCUCGCGUCUGAUUAGCUGGUUGGUGAGGUAACGGCUCACCAAGGCGACGAUCAGUAGCCGACCUGAGAGGGUGAUCGGCCACAUUGGAACUGAGAAACGGUCCAAACUCCUACGGGAGGCAGCAGUGGGGAAUAUUGGGCAAUGGGCGAAAAAGCCUGACCCAGCAACGCCGCGUGAAGGAAGAAGGUUUUCGGAUCGUAAACUUCUAUCCUAGGUGAAGAUAAUGACGGUAGCCUAGAAGGAAGCCCCGGCUAACUACGUGCCAGCCGCGGC